UACGAGAGGUCCAAACGUUAUUCGGAAUCACUGGGCCUACAGAGUUCGUAGGCGGUUCUACAAGUGAGGUGUGAAAGCCCUCGGCUCAACCGAGGAACUGCGCUUCAAACUGUAGAACUAGAGGGAGAUAGAGGUGAGCAGAACUGAUGGUGGAGCGGUGAAAUGCGUUGAUAUCAUCAGGAAUACCGGAGGCGAAGGCGGCUCACUGGGUCUUUUCUGACGCUGAGGAACGAAAGCUAGGGGAGCAAACGGG
rnacentral:rRNA from 1 species